rnacentral:rRNA from 1 species
UACGUAGGGGGCUAGCGUUGUCCGGAAUCAUUGGGCGUAAAGCGCUUGUAGGCGGCUUGGUACGUCCGUUCUGAAAGCCCGGGGCUCAACCCCGGGAGGCGGAUGGAUACUGUCAAGCUCGAGUCCGGAAGAGGCAAGUGGAAUUCCCGGUGUAGCGGUGAAAUGCGCAGAUAUCGGGAGGAACGCCAAAGGUGAAAACAGGUUGCUGGGGUAGUGCCGACGCUGAGACACGAAAGCCAGGGGAGCAAACGGG